CCUACGGGUGGCAACAGUGAGGAAUAUUGGUCAAUGGGCGUAAGCCUGAACCAGCCAAGCCGCGUGAGGGAUGAAGGCUCUAUGGAUCGUAAACCUCUUUUAUAAGGGAAUAAAGUGCGGGACGUGUCCCGUAUUGUAUGUACCUUAUGAAUAAGGAUCGGCUAACUCCGUGCCAGCAGCCGCGGUAAUACGGAGGAUCCGAGCGUUAUCCGGAUUUAUUGGGUUUAAAGGGUGGGUAGGCGGGUUGUUAAGUCAGCGGUGAAAGUCCGGGGCUCAACCAUAGCAGUGCCGUUGAAACUGGGAGGCUUGAGUAGGUUUGAGGCAGGCGGAAUGCGUGGUGUAGCGGUGAAAUGCUUAGAUAUCACGCAGAACCCCGAUUGCGAAGGCAGCCUGCCAGGCCAUGACUGACGCUGAUGCACGAAAGCGUGGGGAUCAAACAGGAUUAGAUACCCCUGUAGUC
rnacentral:rRNA from 1 species